rnacentral:tRNA from 1 species
GCUCCCAUGGCGUAGUGGUCACUGCGCUCGCCUUGCACGCGGGAGACCCGGGUUCGAUUUCCGGCGAGGUCA